rfam:Ailuropoda melanoleuca scaffold1022_26, whole genome shotgun sequence.
GCCUGGGUAGCACAGCGGUUGAGCGUCUGCCUUCGGCUCAGGGCGUGAUCCCGGUGUUGUGGGAUCGAGCCCCACAUCAGGCU